rnacentral:rRNA from 1 species
UACGUAGGGUCCGAGCGUUGUCCGGAAUUAUUGGGCGUAAAGGGCUCGUAGGCGGUCUGUUGCGUCGGGAGUGAAAACUCCAGGCUCAACCUGGAGACGCCAUUCGAUACUGCUAUGGCUUGAGUCCGGUAGGGGCGCAUGGAAUACCCGGUGUAGCGGUGAAAUGCUUAGAUAUCGGGUGGAACACCAGUGGCGAAGGCGGUGCGCUGGGCCGGAACUGACGCUGAGGAGCGAAAGCGUGGGUAGCAAACAGG